UACGUAGGGGGCAAGCGUUGUCCGGAAUCAUUGGGCGUAAAGAGCGUGUAGGCGGCCUGAUAAGUCGGCUGUGAAAGUCAAGGGCUCAACCCUUGAAUGCCGGCCGAUACUGUCGGGCUUGAGUACGGAAGAGGCGAGUGGAAUUCCUGGUGUAGCGGUGAAAUGCGCAGAUAUCAGGAGGAACACCAAUUGCGAAGGCAGCUCGCUGGGACGUUACUGACGCUGAGACGCGAAAGCGUGGGGAGCAAACGGGG
rnacentral:rRNA from 1 species